rnacentral:rRNA from 1 species
GAGACGACGCUGGCGGCGUGCCUAACACAUGCAAGUCGAGCGGAGUCGAUCGACGGAAGCCUUCGGGCGGAAGAUGGUUGACUUAGCGGCGGAUGGGUGAGUAACGCGUGGGCAACCUGCCUCGAAGACCGGGAUAACAGCCCGAAAGGGCUGCUAAUACCGGAUGUGGUCAAGGAUCCGCAUGGAUUUUGAUUAAAGGGGAAACCCGUUUCGAGAUGGGCCCGCGUCCUAUCAGCUAGUUGGUGAGGUAAAAGCUCACCAAGGCGACGACGGGUAGCCGGCCUGAGAGGGUGACCGGCCACACUGGAACUGAGACACGGUCCAGACUCCUACGGGGGGCAGCAGUGGGGAAUCUUCCACAAUGGGCGAAAGCCUGAUGGAGCGACGCCGCGUGAGCGAAGAAGGCCUUCGGGUUGUAAAGCUCUGUCUGGAGGGACGAAGGAAGUGACGGUACCUCCGGAGGAAGCCACGGCUAACUACGUG